UACGUAGGUGGCAAGCGUUGUCCGGAUUUACUGGGCGUAAAGAGCGCGCAGGCGGUCGUUCAAGUCGCGUGUGAAAGCCCCCGGCUCAACUGGGGAGGGUCACGCGAUACUGAUCGACUCGAAGGCAGGAGAGGGUAGUGGAAUUCCCGGUGUAGUGGUGAAAUGCGUAGAUAUCGGGAGGAACACCGGUGGCGAAGGCGGGUCUCUGGGCAUCUCCUGACGCUGAGGCGCGAAAGCGUGGUGAGCAAACGGG
rnacentral:rRNA from 1 species